GGUUCGGUGGUUGAAUCAUCCGUCCCCACCAAUGCCAAAACCAAAUCUACGCCCUUGCCUCUGGCUCCAGAUUAGAAGCAGUGUUCUCCCAACAGGACACAGGUAAAAUGCAUCUAUGUGCAUUCUUUUCUUGCAAUCGCUCUCCCGCAGAAAGGAAUUAUCAUGUCAGAGACCAUGAGCUGCUCGCUAUAAAACUGACAUUUGAGGAAUGGAGACAUUGGUUGCAGGGGGCGAAAAACCUGUCAAGUCACAAAAACCUUGUCUACCUCCAGUCAGCUAAGCGCUUGAACAUUCAUCAAGCUAGGUAUCCUUCACCCAUUUCAACUUCGCAUUACAUUCUGAAUCUAAGAAUCUCUCUCCUAAAUUCAUUGGUCCAUUGAAAUCAAGUCCACAAUCAACCCUGUGUCUACUCACCUGAAAUAAAUAUGAGGAGUCACAAAGAAUUCAGAAAGUUUUUCAUAUUUCUCAGUUAUCCUUUGUCCUGUCGAGUCCUUUGUGCCAUCCUUCCAGGACCCUGCCAUCAGUGCAGUUUAUUGGUGGCCAGCAAAAUGGAAGCUAGACACCUUGGGAGGAGCAUCUAGUAGUUAGUGGACUGGGAGGGUGGAGUCAAACUAAGAUAUGAUAAGAUAACAUAACAUAACAUAACCUUUAUUAGUCCCAAGCGUGGAAAAUUUGUUAACGGCAGGUUACUCAUUCUGCCAUCCUGGAUAAAGGAAUGGUAAAAGAAUUCCACUGUAGUACAGUGGAAAAAGCUGUCAGGUCUCAGGUCUCAGACAAAAAAAAUGUCAGGUUUCAGGAAAAAAGUCAUCAGGUCUCGGAUAAAAAGUGUUCAGAAGUCAGGUCUCAGGUGUCAGUUCUCAGGUCUCAGGUGUCAGGCAUCAGAAGUCAGGUGUCAGAAUUUAGGUCUCAAAAGUCAGGUCUCAGGUGGGAAUGGCAGAUAGAGCGGGGGUGCAGAGAGGACCUCAAGUGUUUACGUUACAAAACCACGGCCGACUGUUUUAAGCUGACAGGCUGAGGUGUUCUUCAGUAUACUGGACUACCCGACAGAAGGACCCGAGGCUCCGCCGCACUUUUUCGAGAGACAGCCAGGUUCAUAAUGGAAGUUUUUUCAA